rnacentral:lncRNA from 1 species
UACUCUUUGUUUGGAGACAACAAAACUUGGAAUUUUGCAAAACUCUGAAAAAGCACCUAAACGCCUAUUACAAUCUGAAAUAGAAACCUGAAGCAUUUCCACCAUUUUACUUAUUGUAAACUGGUUGCACUUGCAUUACAUACCAAUACCAUCUAAGAAGGUCAGCUCAACAGGAAAAUAACCGGUUUAGGAAAGAGGUAUAUGUAACUGUAAAAAUUUUGUAAUACAUAGAAUUCAAUCUAAAAUAGGUUGCAAUGCAUGUUAAACACACCAACAUCAAUGUUCAUCUG